GAUGAACGCUGGCGGCGUGCUUAACACAUGCAAGUCGAACGAUGAAGCCCAGCUUGCUGGGUGGAUUAGUGGCGAACGGGUGAGUAACACGUGAGUAACCUGCCCUUAACUCUGGGAUAAGCCUGGUAAACUGGGCCUAAUACCGGAUAGGAGCGUCCACCGCAUGGUGGGUGUUGGAAAGAUUUAUCGGUUUUGGAUGGACUCGCGGCCUAUCAGCUUGUUGGUGAGGUAAUGGCUCACCAAGGCGACGACGGGUAGCCGGCCUGAGAGGGUGACCGGCCACACUGGGACUGAGACACGGCCCAGACUCCUACGGGAGGCAGCAGUGGGGAAUAUUGCACAAUGGGCGCAAGCCUGAUGCAGCGACGCCGCGUGAGGGAUGACGUCCUUCGGGUUGUAAACCUCUUUCAGUAGGGAAGAAGCGAAAGUGACGGUACCUGCAGAAGAAGCACCGGCUAACUACGUG
rnacentral:rRNA from 1 species